CCGAGCGGUUCAGCUCAAAAUUGGAUCAUUUUCCCUGCGCUUUAUAACCAAUGUUUUCAAUCUAGAUUCAUUAGCUAAUGUUGUGCAUGUUGUGGCUACAAAAGGCAUCUUCAAUAUCUACUAUAACCCCAGGUUAAGCCAAUCUGAAUUCUCAGUACCCUAUUAGAAGUUCACGAAAAGAUUCAAUCAACUAUCAUCCUGGAAGGAGCUUGAUUGUGUGAAGCCGGUAUGGAAGAACUGGAAGGACCUCAAGGUGGAAGACCUUGGAAUCAAGACAUUGUUUGGUGUUGAGCUUUAUGUAUGGUUCUGCGUAGGCGAGAUUGCCGGCAGAGGAUUCACCUUGACCGGCUAUAAGGUCUGAAUUAGUUGUCCUGGCUAUGACCUUACCUUGUAACGCACUGUUAGCUGAUGCUUGUGGAAAUGACAAAGAUACAUGUCUUCUUUCACAAUUUUGUUUCUGAAAAGUUUUUAGUGCUUAAUGCCAGCAAGACGAGCACACCAUUCAGACAGUGCAUCAGUAAUGUGCUCGCUCAAUUGUCCAUUUCUGUGUUCUGGAACUUGAUACCAUGA